UACAGAGGAUGCAAGCGUUAUCCGGAAUGAUUGGGCGUAAAGCGUCUGUAGGUGGCUUUUUAAGUCCGCCGUCAAAUCCCAGGGCUCAACUCUGGACAGGCGGUGGAAACUACCAAGCUGGAGUACGGUAGGGGCAGAGGGAAUUUCCGGUGGAGCGGUGAAAUGCGUAGAGAUCGGAAAGAACACCAGUGGCGAAGGCGGCCUGCUGGGCUGUUGCUGACGCUGAGGCGCGACAGCGUGGGGAGCAAACAGG
rnacentral:rRNA from 1 species